rnacentral:rRNA from 1 species
UACGGGGGGGGCAAGCGUUGUUCGGACUUACUGGGCGUAAAGGGCUCGUAGGCUGCCAACUAAGUCAGACGUGAAAUCCCUCGGCUUAACCGGGGAACUGCGUCUGAUACUGGAUGGCUUGAGAUUGGGAGAGGGAUGCGGAAUUCCAGGUGUAGCGGUGAAAUGCGUAGAUAUCUGGAGGAACACCGGUGGCGAAGGCGGCAUCCUGGACCGGCAUUGACGCUGAGGAGCGAAAGCCAGGGGAGCAAACGGG